AGUCCUAUAGAAAUGUUUGUGGAGGGCCAAGCGCCGGCUCCAGAGGCGCAUCCAAGACACGGGGGCCGCCGAAGCCACCUGGGGCCAAUGGGGAGCCGCCGCCGCCGCUGCCGCCCGAGGAAGCAUCUCACACUCGCAUGCUGGGCCGCGCCGCUGCCGCCGCUUCCUCAGCCGGGCCCCUGGAGUAGGUGCUGCUGCUCCUGCCGCUGCUGCGCAACCACCAGUCGAAGCUUCGCGCCGCCGUCCUUCUCUGGCGCAGUCAGACCCGAAGGACGACGUCGUUGCCAGUCAUACCGGUCGAGGCCCUUUUCCCUGCGCCUGCCUGGUCGUGGCUACAAGCACUCUGGGUAGCCGCCGGGAGGAGGCGAGGAAGGGGGAGGAGGCAGCGGGGUAGGCGGAGAACACGCCGCUUCUCUCACAGUUUCCCUCCCUCGCUCACACCCUUCUCCCGGGAGAGAGAUACUGGGGUCGGUCGGUCCGCUCUUCCCUCUCAGGAUUAAAUCCAUAAAGGGUGCUGCAAAUGCGAUCCUAACCCCGCGUACCUGAUGGAAACAGCUCCCACCCCAAAGAAGAUGCAAUUCCAGCUGUCACCAUAUCUAAGACUUCACAGCUGUUUCUACCAGUGUUUGAACUAGAGCUGAAAGUGAUACUCUAUGUGCUAUGCUUAUGGAAUGCCAGGUGGAAGCCCAAGAGAUGGAUCAAGCCCAGGAUGUAGGUGUCUGAGGAUACAGCUGGUCAUUGUCAAUUUCAUAUCAAGAUCUCUAUUUUUUUGUAUAGAAUGUUGAUGGAACAGCUGCAAGGCCGUUCCACCAGGCAGAAUCUAUCUAUCUAUCCAUCUAUCUAUCCAUCUAUCUAUCCAUCUAUCUAUCCAUCUAUCUAUCCAUCUAUCUAUCCAUCUAUCUAUCCAUCUAUCUAUCCAUCUAUCUACUGAACCUAAGCAAGAGCAAUUCCACUGGGGUAAAACCAAAACACUUGUACAUCUACAAAGCAUGUUAAUCGAUUAGGAGGAACUUUGCUGUUAUUACUGUUCUUUCUCAUAUGCACUCUAUGGGGGGCUACUCUUGGGCCUAGUUCAGAGGCUCCAUCUAGUGCCAAAUCCUGCAGCUAGACUGUUGAUGGGGGCAGACUAAUCACCAGCACAUAACUCCAGUGCUUAAACAGUUGCCCUGACUGCCCUUAUGUUACUGGGCAGUUUCAAGGUUAUAGGAUAUCAAGGACCACCUGGAUCCUUAUAUCCCUGCCAGAUCAUUGAGGUGUUCGGGAGAGUCACAGUUAGUGGUUCCCCAUGGCUUGUAUCCAGCAGGAGCUGUAAUCAGUAUUGUGGGCCCAGUUUUGUGGAACUCCCAGCUGAAAUCAGACAAGCUCCUCUGUUGAACUUAACGGCACCUAGUUAAUACCUUUUUAUUUCAGCAGGCAUUUUAAGACAUUUCUGAUAUUGUAUUUGUUAAGCUUAUUGUACAGCGCUUAGGGAUUAUUGUAAUUAAUCAGCAUACAAACUGUCAAAAUAAAUAAAUAAUAUUGCUAGUUA